CCACAUUAGCUCAGGUGGGAAACGAUCUGAACCAUGCCAUGAGGAUCCUGGGAGACGGGCCAAUGGUGCCCGAUGCAGGAAUGGAGAGGCAGCGUUUUACUAGAAGGAGCAUACCUGGACCACUGCAGGGAGAUGGUCAGGAUGUUACCACGAUAUUACAUCUGGUCCAGAGUCUCAUUCAUGAGGCAGAGGAGGACGACGAGAAGCCCACCCAACAGUAAGUAGAUUUCAUUUAAAGUA